rnacentral:rRNA from 1 species
AGAGAGAGACAUGCGCGCAUAUCAAUAAGCGGAGGAAAAGAAACUAACUAGGAUUCCCUCAGUAACGGCGAGUGAAGCGGGAAGAGCUCAAAUUUGAAAUCUUCAAGGUUCUACCUUGACGAAUUGUAGUUUAAAGAAGUGUUUUCUGUUGGAGUUUUGGUAAAAGUUCUUUGGAAUAGGACAUCAUAGAGGGUGAGAAUCCCGUAUUUGACCAUUAUUUUCCAGCUGUGUGAUACACUUUCAAAGAGUCGGAUUGUUUGGGAAUGCAGUCCAAAAUGGGUGGUAAAUUUCAUCUAAAGCUAAAUAUUGGCGAGAGACCGAUAGCGAACAAGUACCGUGAGGGAAAGAUGAAAAGAACUUUGAAAAGAGAGUUAAACAGUACGUGAAAUUGUCAAAAGGGAAGCGUUUGACACCAGUGUUGUUUUCUCGAAAAUCAAUUAAAAAAGGCAGGAUUUUGUGUUGUAUUGACUUUAUCAGCUUUCUGCACUCUUUUCUUGUCUUUUUUAAUGCACUUUUCGUUUAACAAGUCAACAUCAAUUUCUUUUGUUGUAAAAGGGUCAUUGGAAGGUGGCUUUCUUUUCGGAGAAAGUGUUUAUAGCCUUUGGCCUCUGCAAUCGGAGAGAUUGAGGUCUGCAGCGUAGAUCCUUCGGGGUUAGAUACAUUUGUGCUAAGUUAUAGCCUUUCAUAGACAACUUGUUGACUAUGAUCAGUCAUGUAGCUUACUCGCUUAUGCUAUUUUACCUACGCUUAGGAUGUUGAUGUGAUACUGCGAGC